rnacentral:rRNA from 1 species
UACGAAGGGGGGCUAGCGUUGUUCGGAAUUACUGGGCGUAAAGCGCGCGCAGGCGGUUCUUCAAGUCAGAGGUGAAAGCCCAGAGCUCAACUCUGGAAUGGCCUUUGAGACUAGAGGACUUGGGUACGGGAGAGGUGAGUGGAAUUCCGAGUGUAGAGGUGAAAUUCGUAGAUAUUCGGAAGAACACCAGUGGCGAAGGCGGCUCACUGGAUCGGUACUGACGCUGGAGGUGCGAAAGCGUGGGGAGCAAACAGG